rnacentral:rRNA from 1 species
GAUCAUGGCUCAGGAUGAACGCUAGCUACAGGCUUAACACAUGCAAGUCGAGGGGCAGCAUGAACUUAGCUUGCUAAGUUUGAUGGCGACCGGCGCACGGGUGAGUAACACGUAUCCAACCUUCCGUUUACUCAGGGAUAGCCUCUCGAAAGAAAUAUUAAUACCUGAUAGUAUGGUGAGAUUGCAUGAUAGCACCAUUAAAGAUUUAUUGGUAAACGAUGGGGAUGCG